rnacentral:misc_RNA from 1 species
GAUAACUUACAGUGGCGAAGCAGAGGCCAGAAGCGUCAAAAGUGUCGUCAGUAAUAAGUAUGUUUAUGCGUUAAUUUAACUUUAUUUAUUUAAUCGGUUUAUUGUUAUUAGAACUUGUCAAAAGGCAAGGAUACUGCCGGAAUCUAAGUCUGUCUUCCUAUUGACAUGUAUUAUAGACCCUUUAGCUGUAUGAGUUUGUGUAUGUAGAGCUUAAGUAACAGUGGUGUGUCUUCUGUUCCAGCGGAGCGUUUGUGCACGCCCGCCUAGCGGAGGGCGCGGAGGCGCUGGAGAUCAAUAACCCCAUGUACCUGGCCGGGGACGACGACCGCGACCCACCCGACAGCGACGCGCGCCGGCCCGCCUCCAACGGCGGCAACCACUUCGCGAACCCGGUCUACGACAGCGUGUACGCGCCGCCGGAGGGACAGCGCGCCGAGGAGCAGGCGUCGCUGCUGGACGCGCCGCCGGAGCGCGCCGCGCUGCUGGGCGCCGCGCCCUAGGCCGUAGGGCGGCCCUAGGGCGGCCGUAGGGCGGCUGCCGACGUGGCGGUCUGAUGUAUCCGCGGACAUAGCUCUAACUAAUGAAUUGAUUGUAUUGGCAGUUAAUCGAUUAACCUUUUUGAAAUGUUCAAUGUAAAGUAUAGUUAACCUAACCUAACUACUGUAGUUCAACACACAUGUGGCUUGAGGUUGUUGUUAAAACUACAAAAUAACUAGCGACGUGCUCUCGUUGAACGCUCAUUCUAGUGCCAAAACCCGUAUAUUGUAAGCACUAAUUAUUACAUUUAUUUUAAGCCUAUUUCUAGAUUAAAAUAUAUCAUUUACACCGAGAUGUAUUACAUACGACUGUAGUUAACAUAUCAACAGACGUGUCCACGCUGACAUAGCGCUAACAGUUCGAAAAUUACUCUUUAUAUUAGCUUCAUUUACAAACGACGUAGUCGAAAUCUUUAUCCUCUCUAAUACUUUAAACGUAACGAAAGACCAAAAAGAUACGAAAAUUAUAGUGAUUAUAUUAAGUACACGUAGAAUAAAUGAUUUAAGUCCCAAUAAUCUCCUCUGCGUUCCCCUCAUAGCGUGUAGUGUUUUAUAUUUCAACUUAAUUUUUUUAACAAUAUAAAAGUUAUUUCGAUAAUUCAAAAAUAUAAAUUAAUAUUUAAAAUAGUUUCGAUAAUCCUAGACGUAAGCGUAACUGCGAUUGUGAUGAACUGUAAGUGUAGAUAGUUUGCAGGCUCUUUUAGAUUUGUAUCUUCACAUACGUCGAGACGCGGUCAACCUGACGUAAACAGUUCUAAAUAUAUUUAUACGGCGUUUUUCAUUUUAAUUUACAAAAAUAACUUGAAUGGGCAGAAUUUAUAAUAUUUAUCCUGUAAUAAUAUGUUCUUUUUACUUGUGUGGUGGCAAGGAAUAAGCGGCCUAGUAAUUUUAACAGACUUUGUACUUGACAAACAUAUAUUUUAUUAAUUUAAAUCAAGACUUUUCUUUGUUAUGAAAUAAGAAAAAACGUAUAUUGUUUUACCUUUAAGUAUUUUUUAUUGUAAUUUACAUUGUUUCUUAUUCUUAAAUCUGAAAUCAUAUUUAUUUUCUGGAUGACAUUUUUAUCGUUUAUUCAUUAACCGUUUAAAAUAUUAUAAUUGUGUCUAUAAAUAUAUUUUGACGAUAAUCACUUUUUUUGUGAAUUUAUUCUAAUUUUAUAACCGCGUAUUAUUUCCAUUUUAAUAAAUCAAUUUAAAAUGUUUGUCAGUGUAUGCAAUCUCUCCGAGACUGACUGUACAAGCUAUAUUUACUUUUAAGUAUACUGUAGUAAACAAAUCAUUAACUUAGCGAGGGCAGUUUUUUAUUAUUAUUAAUAUACAUAAUAAUUUUGACAUUACAAAAUUGUGCCAUACAAACUUGUAAUAUAGUUUGUGAAAUUGUGUUGUAAUAUUUUGAUAUUUUUACAGAAUCGGUACUCGUGUACUGUACAUGUGCUUUUAUAAUAAAUAUUACAUAGUAAAUUAAGAAGUUAUUAUUGAUUAACUUCAAUGAACGCGUUAUAAGUCUUCUCACGGCCAGGUCAGGUUAAAAUCUUAUUGGCAGCUAACGUAGGUUGUGUUUAUUAUAUAAUUUACUUUAAAAAAUUGAAAAAUCGACUUUAAUUAUUUGCGAUUGUUUGAUAUAAAAGAAAUGGGACCAUCCUUGAGGUCGAUAUUCAAUAAAUAAAUAGAUUAAUAACUGUGUGAAAUAAUCAAUUUUUAAAGUCUGUUAACUAUAAUUAUUUUAUUACAUAAAUGAUAUGUAUAUGUCAUAUCAGUAGAUGUUAUAUUAAAUCACUUGAGUGAUGAAUGUCAUUGUAAUUAAAAUUGAGCUUACUACUGUCGAUGUAUUCUUUCGGACUACGAACGUGUUUCGUUCUUUGUGUAAAUUAAACAAUAUAGCACAAAUCGAUCUAAAGUAAUACUGUGAGUAGUUCUAGUGUCUAAAUAAAACAAAUUCAAUAAUAUG